UCGGGAAUUUUGGGCAAUGGGGGAAACCCUGACCCAGCAACGCCGCGUGAAGGAUGAAGUAUUUCGGUAUGUAAACUUCGAAAGAAUAGGAAGAAUAAAUGACGGUACUAUUUAUAAGGUCCGGCUAACUACGUGCCAGCAGCCGCGGUAAUACGUAGGGACCAAGCGUUGUUCGGAUUUACUGGGCGUAAAGGGCGCGUAGGCGGCAUGACAAGUCACUUGUGAAAUCUCUGGGCUUAACCCAGAACGGCCAAGUGAUACUGUCGCGCUAGAGUGCAGAAGGGGCAAUCGGAAUUCUUGGUGUAGCGGUGAAAUGCGUAGAUAUCAGGAGGAAUACCGGUGGCGAAAGCGACUCUCUGGACGGCAACUGACGCUGAGGCACGAAAGCGUGGGGAGCAAACAGGAUUAGAUACCCCAGUAGUCCCUGAGCGGGCUGGCAAGGCGCAU
rnacentral:rRNA from 1 species